CAGUCGCCGCGGUAAUACAGAGGGUGCGAGCGUUAAUCGGAUUUACUGGGCGUAAAGCGUGCGUAGGCGGCUUCUUAAGUCGGAUGUGAAAUCCCUGAGCUUAACUUAGGAAUUGCAUUCGAUACCGGGAAGCUAGAGUAUGGGAGAGGAUGGUAGAAUUCCAGGUGUAGCGGUGAAAUGCGUAGAGAUCUGGAGGAAUACCGAUGGCGAAGGCAGCCAUCUGGCCUAAUACUGACGCUGAGGUACGAAAGCAUGGGGAGCAAACAGGAUUAGAUACCCCUGUAGUCCCUGUCUCUUAUAC
rnacentral:rRNA from 1 species